ACUGCGUGCCGGCUGCCCUCGCUCUCACUGGCAGGUUCUUCCCCGAUGUUAAAACCCACUUCUUCAGGCACCCAAAGUAGACUGAAGACCAGCAGUUCUCCAAGAAUCCUCCUGGCCUUUAGCACCAAAUUGGAACUUCCAAAGUAUCCAGCAUUGAGGAUUGUCAGUGUGAGACAGCCACUGUUGGACGACAAGAGCCACGCUAUGAACUGCCCGAGAUCGCUAAGGACUCCCGGCUCUCAGGCUUUGGGACUCAGGCUGAAUUCUUCUACUGUUCUCCAGUUCUGCAGACAAUAAGCCAUGGGCAUCUCAGUUUUCAUAGCCACUGAAUCCUAUGCUUAUGGAGAGACGUCAUGUCUGUGAAGGUACCUAGUAGCUAGUAUCUUCUCAUGGACUUGAUGGGAUCCUACAGGAAACAGAAUUCCAGUGUCAGUGUCCCUUCCUCUGCUCUUGGACUCUAGGGCAAACCAAGAGUCUAAUGCAGCUCCUGUCCUGCAGAGGUGAUGAACACCAUGCACAAGGUCACAGAGACUCUGCCCACAUCAUCUUGGUUAUCAAACUCAAGUAGAACUAAUACUGCUCGAAGACAAAUGUCUUUAAAGUCCCACUGUCCAGUUACAAAUAAACAGAGGAAGGAGAGAGAUGGGGAGGUGGUACAGAGUGCCUUGGGGACAGAAGGAAGAAAAUACCCAGAGCAUGCACAAAGCCAAGUGGUGACGAACUCUGGAGGACUUAUCUCAUCCAAGAGAGAGAUAAGAGUGGCUGGAGGAAACCGGGCUUGGGAGACACCCCAGUCUCUAAAGUGCUGGCCCCACAAGCAUGAGGACCUGAGUUUGAUCGCCAAAAUAUACACUUUAAAAGUCAAGUUUAGCAGUGUGCACUUGUAAUUCCAGUACUGGGAAGGCUAAGACAGGCCGCUACUGGGUUUCACCAGACAGACAGCCUAGCCUACUAGGCAAGGUGCAGACCAACAAGACAGACCAUCCUGUGAAACAAGUGGGUGGCUCCUAAGGAAUGGUGCACAC
ensembl:lincRNA Gm9946 predicted gene 9946